rnacentral:rRNA from 1 species
GAACCCCGGAGAGGGGAGUGAAAUAGAACCUGAAACCGUGUACGUACAAGCAGUCGGAGCCCUCUUGUGGGGUGACGGCGUACCUUUUGUAUAAUGGGUCAUCGACUUGGUCUAUCUAGCAAGCUUAAGCCGUUAGGUGUAGGCGCAGCGAAAGCGAGUCUUAAUAGGGCGAAUGAGUUAGAUGGAUCAGACCCGAAACCGAGUGAUCUAGGCAUGGCCAGGUUGAAGGUACAGUAACAUGUACUGGAGGACCGAACCCACAUCCGUUGAAAAGGAUCGGGAUGAGCUGUGCCUAGGGGUGAAAGGCCAAUCAAACUCGGAGAUAGCUGG